GACAUGCUCUACCAAUUGAGCCAGCCAGGCUGCUUUAACGCUAGAAGCAAAUCAACACAGAAUGAUCAUUUACAGAGACUGGAGAAGGUAGAGCCUCCAGGAAAUGGCAGGUCUUUGUUUCCUGAAAGGAAGGGCUGAUGCUGAUUAAUCGAGAAAACAAAUUUGGAAUGAUAAAGUACUUCCCCUGGGAUCAAGCCCCGCAUCGGGCUCCCUGCUCCGCGGGAAGUCUGCUUCUCCUUC